ACAUCGCACGAGGGUUUGGUGUGGCUUGGUGCCGUCUGUUCGCUAUACAAGCCGCGGUGAUACACUAUUGCGGAUUUCUCCACAGCGAGCGUUCUCUCUUUUUGCCCCUCAGAAACCCAAAUUCCAAAAGAGGGAAUAAGAAAUGGGAAGCAUAGGAUAGCAAUGGGCGGGUCUGUUACGGGUGCCUGGGGACACAUCCACGAUUGGAUGGGAACCGAGCAGCCGGAGCUUGAAGCUGUAGAGAGAAGUGCAAACUAACUUCUACAUGCCUUUCCAGCCUUACCUCCUUACUGACUGCAGGAUAUGGUCGGGAUACGGACGGAAUCAUUUUAUGGGCGCAAUCAUAGUUCAGAAAAAGAGACUUUUAAAAUUAAAUUUUGUCUCUGAUACCAAGUUUGUUUGAAAAAUUAAAAUAUGAACUUAAUUGACAAGUGGCACAUCGUGCGAAACUUUUAAUAGUUAGGUAAAAUUACCAAAAAGAAAAAAAAACAGAACGAAAAAGAAAUGAGAAAUAAGAAAGGCUAAAUAUAGUCAAU
rnacentral:sRNA from 1 species